rnacentral:rRNA from 1 species
UGCAUAUCGGUAAGCGGAGGAAAAGAAACCAACAGGGAUUGCCCCAGUAACGGCGAGUGAAGCGGCAAGAGCUCAAAUUUGAAAUCUGGCCUCCCCCGGGGGUCCGAGUUGUAAUUUGCAGAGGAUGCUUCGGGCGCGGCCCCCGUCUAAGUUCCUUGGAACAGGACGUCAGAGAGGGUGAGAAUCCCGUCUUGGGCGGGCGGCCCGCGCCCGUGUGAAGCUCCUUCGACGAGUCGAGUUGUUUGGGAAUGCAGCUCUAAGCGGGUGGUAAAUUUCAUCUAAAGCUAAAUACCGGCCGGAGACCGAUAGCGCACAAGUAGAGUGAUCGAAAGGUUAAAAGCACCUUGAAAAGGGAGUUAAACAGCACGUGAAAUUGUUGAAAGGGAAGCGCUUGCGGCCAGACUCGGGGGGCGGGGUUCAGCGGGCGCUCGUCGCCCGUGCACUGCCCGCUCCCCGGGCCAGCAUCAGCUUCGACGGCCGGUCAAAGGCCCCCGGAAGGGGAAGUCUCUAGGGUCGUCCACACCCCCCGUGCCUAUCGGAAGCGGAGGAACCCCCGUCUGAAACACGGACCAUGCAAUCGAGCUGA